rnacentral:rRNA from 1 species
UACGUAGGUGGCAAGCGUUAUCCGGAAUUAUUGGGCGUAAAGCGCGCGCAGGUGGUUUCUUAAGUCUGAUGUGAAAGCCCACGGCUCAACCGUGGAGGGUCAUUGGAAACUGGGAGACUUGAGUGCAGAAGAGGAAAGUUGGAAUUCCAUGUGUAGCGGUGAAAUGCGUAGAGAUAUGGAGGAACACCAGUGGCGAAGGCGACUUUCUGGUCUGUAACUGACACUGAGGCGCGAAAGCGUGGGAGCAAACAGG